rnacentral:lncRNA from 1 species
GUGUGUAUUGUUAGUGAAAAUAUGCUCAUAGUUUUUUUAAAUAUGUGUACGCCAUUAACUGAUGUCAUUGUGUUUUCCAGGGGUAUAUGAACCAGAAAUGAUGUGAUAUACUUGGUUAUUUGAACAUGAAGGUCAACCACGGGGUGGCGCGACAUGGGUGAGCUGAAAUUGUUCUACUGAUUCCUUGAUGCUUUGUUCAUUGCUUUGUUCUUAUUUUAUCGUUCUUUAUUUGCUUUGUUCUUUCCUACAAGAAGAUGCCGAGUCGUGCAAUAUGUUCAAAGAAGUGAGAAUCUGCAUUUUAUGAAUGUUUUCUUCUUUCUUCAUUGUUACCUCAAGUCAGUGAAUUCAGUUAAAUUGUACUGAGCAGCUUCAUACGCAUGGUUUCUCCAUCUACACAUCUUAUUCAGUCACGAGGCCAUUAAGAUCUUUUUGACUUUUAUAAAAAGGGUGAUGCCAAUUGGACGUCACCCUGUCCAACUUGAUCUUUAACUUGCUAUUACUGUUUGGAUCUUCACAUUCAAGGAUUUUUCAUUAAAUCGUCGGUUCACCAGUUCUUUGUUACUUGAGAUAUUGUGAUAAACUUAUAUCAUUGCUUACUAUACAUAUGUCUGGAUGAUGCCUGCAGGCUCAUUACAAGCUUCAGGUGGAUCAAAUAGUGGGCCUUCUAUAUAUAUAUUCAGCUGUAUCAUUUCUUACUAUAUAUGUCUUCCUGUAGACGAGACGAAACCAUACAUGGAUCCUUUGCCUCCUUUCUUGCUCAGACCCCAUGAUACAACCUCGGCGGUUGUCCAGCGACUAACAGGUAAUUUCUCUUUCAAUUUGAUGAUGAUGGAUGAGAAUCAGUUCUAUGAUUGCAGCUUAUAAAAACAGAUGUUGGAUGUCCCUUAUGUGAUGUGCUUAUUUACCAUGAUAGAUGCAAUUGCUUAUUAGUAGGUGCUCUCCGAAUCCUUCUUUAACUAAUUUACUUUGAAGUUCGGACAAAGGAGACUAUAACUUUUUAUAUUCGUUCUAUCAUGGAUUCCCUCUCUAGCCUAUGUACGUUUCAGAAAUAGGUACACACCUAGGAGAAGCCUGAGACCUAAUAAUAGUGCUAAGCAAUUACUCUGAUUGUCAUUCUAUGCUAUCAUCACAACACAGGUCAAUAGACAGUCAACAAAUGUGUAAUCAGCUUUCCCUGGGUCCUGCAUCAUCUACUAAUAAUCAAAUUUUGUGGCGAGUGUCUUAUAAAUCAGCAUACCUAUUUCUCCACACUGGAUAGCUUUUAUUGUGACUACAAAGAAUAUCGUUUGAGGAUGGCAUGCCAAUUGUUCUAUGUCUUGGGUAUGAAGUAAUUUCUAAAAUGUCUUAGGUUUCCCUAUAAAUUCUGCAAAUUUGCGGCAUGUCAUUAAAACCUACAGGGUGCUCCACCGAUGGUGAAAAUACCUCACAUGAUGAUGUUGGAUAUUCUUCUACAAACUUCUGGCCUACUAGUGGCUGAGUAUCGAAGCAAAAUGUGACAGUUGCAUGAUGUGGUUGACUGUUUAUUUGCAUACAGCAAUAUCAUCUUUUGGAGAUAAAACAGCCGUAUGGAUGUUACAUGAGACCAUGUCGGAAGACCCUGCUGCUAUGUAAGCAAAAGGAUUCAUGAUACCCACGGUGAAAACAGAGAUAAGAUGCUACAGUUAGAGCAGCAUUGAGAAACCGAGGACACGAAAUGAGUCUGAAAAAUGCUAUGGGCUGAUUUGUUCUAGCUAGGUACAUGCAAUGCUUCUCUUAUAUAUAUGCAACGUAACAUCGCGGAUAACUAGAACUGUUGUGAUGUUGCUCUAUUAUAAGUACAAAUAACUCAUGGUUAUCUUUUCUUAUGCAAUGUGUGGUAGAAGUUGUACUCACAGGAAGACUAUCGUGCUUUGUAUAAACCACAUUCUAUGAUUCACUUCUGUUAUGCUUAUUUACAUUCCAGUGUUAGGACUGAAAUCCAUCUAUUGUAAUGAAUUUGGUUAUAUUGGCAUUACCUAUUUGACUUAGGCUUGGUUCAUCACAUAUAGACUGUUUUUCUUGUAACCCGCUGCUUGUAUGACCUAAAACUGUCAUGUAUAUGAGGCAAGUUAUUAGCAAUGUUUCACAUUUUCUUACUUGCAAUACUAUGCUUGCCUGUUCAGGUCUUCCAAGACCUAAAUCAUCAGAAAUCCAGCAC